GACGAACGCUGGCGGCGUGCUUAACACAUGCAAGUCGAACGAUGAAGCCUAGCUUGCUAGGUGGAUUAGUGGCGAACGGGUGAGCAAUACGUGAGUAACCUACCUUUAACUCUGGGAUAAGCCUGGGAAACUGGGUCUAAUACCGGAUACGACCAAUCUCCGCAUGGGGUGUUGGCGGAAAGCGUUAUGUAGUGGUUAUAGAUGGGCUCACGGCCUAUCAGCUUGUUGGUGAGGUAACGGCUCACCAAGGCGACGACGGGUAGCCGGCCUGAGAGGGUGACCGGCCACACUGGGACUGAGACACGGCCCAGACUCCUACGGGAGGCAGCAGUGGGGAAUAUUGCACAAUGGGCGCAAGCCUGAUGCAGCGACGCCGCGUGAGGGAUGACGGCCUUCGGGUUGUAAACCUCUGUUAGCAGGGAAGAAGAGAGAUUGACGGUACCUGCAGAGAAAGCGCCGGCUAACUACGUGCCAGCAGCCGCGGUAAUACGUAGGGCGCGAGCGUUGUCCGGAAUUAUUGGGCGUAAAGAGCUUGUAGGCGGUUUGUCGCGUCUGCUGUGAAGGCCGGGGCUUAACCCCGUGUAUUGCAGUGGGUACGGGCAGACUAGAGUGCAGUAGGGGAGACUGGAAUUCCUGGUGUAGCGGUGGAAUGCGCAGAUAUCAGGAGGAACACCGAUGGCGAAGGCAGGUCUCUGGGCUGUAACUGACGCUGAGAAGCGAAAGCAUGGGGAGCGAACAGGAUUAGAUACCCUGGUAGUCCAUGCCGUAAACGUUGGGCACUAGGUGUGGGGGACAUUCCACGUUUUCCGCGCCGUAGCUAACGCAUUAAGUGCCCCGCCUGGGGAGUACGGCCGCAAGGCUAAAACUCAAAGAAAUUGACGGGGGCCCGCACAAGCGGCGGAGCAUGCGGAUUAAUUCGAUGCAACGCGAAGAACCUUACCAAGGCUUGACAUAUACUGGACCGCAUCAGAGAUGGUGUUUCCCUUCGGGGCUGGUAUACAGGUGGUGCAUGGUUGUCGUCAGCUCGUGUCGUGAGAUGUUGGGUUAAGUCCCGCAACGAGCGCAACCCUCGUUCUAUGUUGCCAGCACGUUAUGGUGGGGACUCAUAGGAGACUGCCGGGGUCAACUCGGAGGAAGGUGGGGAUGACGUCAAAUCAUCAUGCCCCUUAUGUCUUGGGCUUCACGCAUGCUACAAUGGCCGGUACAGAGGGUUGCGAUACUGUGAGGUGGAGCUAAUCCCUAAAAGCCGGUCUCAGUUCGGAUUGGGGUCUGCAACUCGACCCCAUGAAGUCGGAGUCGCUAGUAAUCGCAGAUCAGCAACGCUGCGGUGAAUACGUUCCCGGGCCU
rnacentral:rRNA from 1 species